AAGUUCUCAAACCAUGUUGAUUGUUUUUCAAUGUGGCUUGGAUGUGGGGGUGUGCAGGCCUUUUGAAGGGUCAGCUCCCCUGAAAUGCAUUAGUGGUAUCCGAGCAGAUAAACUACCUCAGGUGUGAUAAAAUGUAUCUAUGCCUUGGUGAGCUGCAUGAAAUGGAUUGCACUGCUCAUAAAAAGUGGCUGACCGUGCCACGCUUUGAUGA
rnacentral:misc_RNA from 1 species